GCUGUGGUUUCUGAAUGCUGUUGUUCACAUGUCCAGUGGAUAGAAAGGGCCAGAGCAGUUCUGUGAUUUAUGCAUGAGUACUGUCUUUCCUCAGCAGUCUCUGUAGCCUGGUCACUGAUACACGG
ensembl:snoRNA